AUGGGAAAGCAGAAGGCAAUGCUUCAGGAUUCACAAGUACAUCUUAAUCACUGUCAGGCUGUCAGGUACAAAGGCAGUACCCAGCUACUACUGAGGUCAAUAAAAUUUUGGAAGCCAAAUACUUUUAUGGAACUGAUCAUAAACUAUAUGGAAAAGGUAUUAUCCUCUUCAUUACUUGCUUUUAUGAUGUAUUUGAUUCCUCAAAGCUAUUGUGUCUAUCAUUUUAUGUCUAUGGCCAAGCACUCCAAAGCAGCUCCAUGCCUUGUUUCAUUGAAGUGUUUUCCCCCCACCCUGCUGAGGGGCAACGUGUAGUUUCAUCCUGUACACAGAAAGCUGUCACACAGGCUGGCUGUGUAUAUAGAUAGGCUUUGGUGGGUUCAGUAGUUGUGGAAGAAAGAAUGUUUAAGAACAGAGCAAGCUGAUAUGAUACUUACUUUGAAUAUUCUUUGACCAUUUAUAGAUCAAUGACUUUUGUAAUGGUAAUCCUCAAUCAUCUUAUCUUUCUUUUUUUUUCUUUUUUUUUGGUCUCCCCUUGAACCCAUUUAAACUGUUUGUGCCCUAUGUUUCUUGUUUUGAGCUUUCCUCCUUCCAGUUUCAUUUGAAGCUCCUUAAUUCUAAUACUAGAAUAUAUAUGUCUGCCUCUGAUACACCUAUUCAGCAUCCAUAAAAAUGCACUAGAAGAAUUUCUGAGCUGUGGAAUUGAGCUGAUCAUCAGGAUCAAUAGCUCCUGAUGGUCCUCUUCUCCCUGAAUUUGUCUAUUUUCUUUUUGAACUUAUUUACAUGCUCUAAAGAUAUCCUCACAAUGAGUACUUACUGAGUGAGAAAGCUCUUCUGUUUGCUCUAAAAGUGCUGAUUGUUUCCUUAGUUGUUUUGUGCUGGAAAAUACCAAAUACAUUAUUUCUAUAUCUGAUUUCUUUGUACCACUUAUGAUUUUAUGGACCUUAUAGACCUCUACUGUGUUCUCCUCAGUCUUCUUAUCCUAGGCUGAAGAGUCCCAGAUUAUUAAUUUU
rnacentral:lncRNA from 1 species